rnacentral:misc_RNA from 1 species
GCAUUAGAGAUAAAAUUUAGGGAUUAAAUUAAUAAUUUCUUCACUCUUUGUUCCCUCCGACUCCGAGUGUCUGUCCUUAGUGAAAAAAAAAGAAAGUAUCUGCCCUUCGCUGUCGCCGCUUUCCUCUGGCGAGUUGAGUAACUCUAGCCUCCACUCCUUAUCCUUCUCUAUCUUUUCUUCCCAUGUCCUCGCUUCUUUGCAA